UACGAAGGGGGCUAGCGUUGUUCGGAUUUACUGGGCGUAAAGCGCACGUAGGCGGAUCGUUAAGUCAGGGGUGAAAUCCUGGAGCUCAACUCCAGAACUGCCUUUGAUACUGGCGACCUUGAGUCCGGAAGAGGUGAGUGGAACUCCUAGUGUAGAGGUGGAAUUCGUAGAUAUUAGGAAGAACACCAGUGGCGAAGGCGGCUCACUGGUCCGGUACUGACGCUGAGGUGCGAAAGCGUGGGGAGCAAACAGGG
rnacentral:rRNA from 1 species